GACGGAGGAUGCAAGCGUUAUCCGGAAUGAUUGGGCGUAAAGCGUCCGCAGGUGGCAGUUCAAGUCUGCUGUCAAAGACCGGGGCUUAACUUCGGAAAGGCAGUGGAAACUGAACGGCUAGAGUAUGGUAGGGGCAGAGGGAAUUCCUGGUGUAGCGGUGAAAUGCGUAGAGAUCAGGAAGAACAUCGGUGGCGAAGGCGCUCUGCUGGACCAUAACUGACACUCAGGGACGAAAGCUAGGGGAGCGAAUGGG
rnacentral:rRNA from 1 species